rnacentral:rRNA from 1 species
UACCCACGCGAUGGGGUGCGAAUCUCGAAAGCCUAUCUCAGUUCGGAUUGGAGGCUGAAACCCGCCUCCAUGAAGUUGGAUUCGCUAGUAAUCGCGCAUCAGCCAUGGCGCGGUGAAUACGUUCCCGGGCCUUGUACACACCGCCCGUCAAGCCAUGGGAGCUGGGGGUGCCCAAAGUUGGCAGGAGAAUAUGUUACCUAAGGCAAAACCGAUGACUGGGGUGAAGUCGUAACAAGGUAAC